GGGCCUGUGGUUUAAUGGUAGAAUGACGGUCUCCAAAACCGUAGAUCGGGGUUCGAUUCCCUGCAGGCCUG
rnacentral:tRNA from 1 species